GUGUCAGCAGCCGCGGUAAGACAGAGGUUGCAAACGUUGUUCGGAAUCACUGGGCAUAAAGCGCACGUAGGCGGUCUGUUAAGUCAGGUGUGAAAGCCCCCGGCUCAACCGGGGAACAGCAUUUGAUACUGGCAGACUCGAGGAUGGUAGGGGUGAGUGGAACUCCAGGUGGAGCGGUGAAAUGCGUAGAUAUCUGGAGGAACACCGGUGGCGAAAGCGGCUCACUGGACCAUAACUGACGCUGAGGUGCGAAAGCUAGGGUAGCAAACGGGAUUAGAUACCCUCGUAGUCC
rnacentral:rRNA from 1 species